rnacentral:piRNA from 1 species
UGCACAGAGCGUAAACAGAGGUGGCAUGAC